UGCCCUUGCAAGUUCACCUUGUCUAGGAGGGAAAAGGGCAGGAGCUCAGCCUGAACAGAUGGCCUCACAGAGGGUGCUCACUGCUGCAGAAACCCUGGAAUAUCAUCAUUUAAAAACUAAGUCUCCAUCCCAGGCUUCCCUGUCAAUUUAAGAGCAACUGCUCACGGACAAGAUUUGGGGAAGCACUGGGGCACAUCGGUCACUGAGGCCAAAUCACAGAGUGGGACAUGGAGGCCCAGGAGAAUGUCAUUCUGCACGCAGUUGACCUUUAGAAGGAUUUGAACACUCACCAAAGGACGACACUCAGCCUUCAGGCCAAGGUUGGCUCACCAUGUGGCCCAAACUUUUCAGCUCUGAAGACUAGGCUGAGUUUGGAAGUGCAGUUGGAUCUCCAGCUGGUGAUACACUGACACACAGCUGAGACUGUCCCUGAGCACCUGCCCCCUCAGCGACCUCACAGGGAGGGGAGCGGAGGAUGGCUGAGGUCGAAGUGGGGUCCUGCAUCCAUGGGCCCAGCGUUAUCUCAUAACCUCACCUCCUUCCCCACAAAUCCCAACCUGACCCCUCACCCUAGAGAUGAAUGAUCCCCCUGCAGCCCAGAGCAGAGGAAACCACUGACCCCAGCCACUGUCCACUUCUAAGCCUGACAAGGGAGCUGGCCUGGGAGGGUCCUGUUCUACAGCUGUCAGGGUGCUCUCUACUGGCAACUCCAAGGUUUUGCAUAAAAAGAGAAGAAGAAUUGAGGAUUCAUUUGGGUGAGACCAAAGUACAUUUCAAGAUCAUUUUUCAAGACUGUAAGACGCUUUUUGAGAAGACUUAUAGAAGCUUUCUGUGUCACUGAGUUUAUCUACUCCAAAUUGCUAGACUGUUUUCUGUUCCCUCACCACCAUUCUGGUAAUACAAACAAAACAAAACAAACAUUGUAGGAAGGAAAUCGAGCAUGCUGGACCACACGAGGUGGCAUUCACCUCCACCACCCAUCAGAGAUGGCGCACGAAACCCAUCAGCCCUGUUCCCUGAAAGAGCUGACAACCUCAGAAUGACACCCCCAGUCAUUAGAAUGCAACAUGGCCCACGCUGAGGUCUCAGAGUGAUCCCCUGGGGACCUGAGUGUGCAUAUGACAACCGCAACCUCCCAGGGACGUCCCCAGCACAUGGACGACCUGCUUUCCACAGCCCCUUGCACUGACCACUCACUAUUUCACCCGGGCCUGGUUGCAGGCAAACUCUCUUUAUUAUUUAUUUUCCCCAUAAUAAAGAGUGCCAGUACCAGAAGUUUCCUUCAUAACCCAAGUGGGUAAAAAACCACGGUGCCUCCAGGGAGAAGCAGCUUCACAACAAUAAAGGCGAGAGUGGCUUCCUUCAAUUCCCCGUCGGCAGGAUGAUCCCUGGGCUUCCACUGUCCUCAAGACAAGGAUAAGUGGCACCUAUUACUUUUCUGAUAGAGUUUUGAUUUGUGUCCUCAUGAGUGAAAACCAGGUAAGUGAAUAGGAAGGCUGUCUUCCAGUCCCCAAAUAAAAUAAGAUAAAUAACUCGAGGUUCAAUCUCCUUCAGGUAGAUUGACAAAAAGGAUGGAGCUGUCGAAAUGAAGAAGGGCCACAGGAGUUUAUAAGUGUGGGGAAGUUGGGGUUCCUAUGGCCAGGAUCCUCACUGAAUUUAAACCACCUGAUGAUGUAACUGGCCUGUUGCUGGGCUGCCACUUCCACACUUUUAGGUAAUAAGCUAUUAUUGUGCUAUGUAGACAGCUUGGCCCAGCGCUCCGGGCGGAGGCAGAGAUGCUAGUGCUCGACCUACCGCUGGGAGAACAAGCCGGGUAAUAAAACCCUUUCACCCCAAAAAACGUUUUGCUAUGAAUUUCUUGGUCACACUGAAUCCAUAGUGAGCUUGCCCAGGGCUGAAACCCAUUGGCAAGACAGUAAGUUACUCACUUCUUUCAGCUGUCACAAUUUUGAUGGUCAGCAAUGUCUGAGCUUGUAUUUGCACACUACUGAGGCUGGGGCCUGGAUAAAGUCUAGGGGGGAGGAGAGGCCAGUUGCUCAAGUAAGAGCUCAUUGUUUUGCAAAGCUACUUGCUGUGUUUUCUUCCUGGGCCUAAUACCACCACACCUGUGUCCGAAAGAAGAGAGAGACUGCUUACCCAGCGGAACAAGCCAGCUCUCCUGCUGCUGUUCGGAAUGGAUCGCUCAUUCUCGCAAGCAGAAACAUGCCACUCCAGCUUGCGUUCCAAACCAACGCCGCCUCGUUGUUCCUAAAUCUGACUGUACGUUAGAAACACCUGGGGGCUUGCUAUAAAUACAAAUGCUCAGACUCCACCCCCUGGGAUUCUGACCCCGCUGCACUGCCUGGGGCCCGGGAAUUGGGGCGUUCAGCAGGCACUCCUGGUGUUUUGGAGUGCCGGAAUGCAGGAAGCAGUGGUUAUCCUCCAGUCUCGGACCCACGUUAGCAUUUUAGAGUAGAAAAAAGGAACCUGGAGAUCAUCCAGCUCAGCCUUUUCGUUUUGCAGAGAAAUAACAUGGGAUCUGAGUGACAGGACUUGGUUUAAUCAGGCGGGACUGUGAUACUCCCGCUAACACUCAGUGUCUCUGCAGAAUAUCUGUUGCCUCUCAGUGAAUUUAGAAGUUAGGAAUGUAUUUUUCUGGAAAGGGUUAGAAACAAAUGUUCUCACAGGGAAAAAAAUGGGGGGUGGUUAUUAGGAGUCAUCUGUAUAGAAAGAAGCCUUUGUUCGGGGAAAGUUGGCCUUGACAGAGCAAAUGUUAGUGAAAGAUGCCCCAUCAGAGGAAGGUCCUGGGGCAAAUCCGGCCUGGAGCACAAGCAUUAGUCUUUGUCCGGCCAUCUGUGGUCUGUGUCUGAAUGCCCAGCUCAAGAAGCCUAGCUUCAGUGGCUAAUGCCUUUUGACUCCCAAUAAAAGCGAAACAAAGCAGUUCUUAAACAAAAGGACUGCAGUGUGCGAUUCUUAAAGAGAAUGAUCUCCAUUGAUGUGUAUCCCCCGCAAACGAAGCUUAAGGAGGCCACACACACUGAUGCACUGGGAAGAGACCCCAAACCCAGUUCCCUGCUUCAUCUCUAGACUGAGGAGGAAGCCUGGGUAACUUAAGGCUGCAUCCUUUGCUCUACAAAGACCACCAGAUAUUAGGGCAAUAAUCAUGGUGCCUCUGGAGUCAUCCAUGACGACAUGUGAACUCAUAACCAAACAGCGUUGGGUGCCCUGUGCCCAUCCUUCACCCCGAUUCUUAUUAAGCAGCAGGCUCCAGAAGUGGAACAGACCUUUCUGAGCACCUCAUCUGUGGGCUUGUCAGGCAGUGGUGUGCGUGCACAUUGUGGGCUCAGUGUGGACAGAGGCCUAGCUAAACGCAAAUAGAAUUGUUUCUGUAAUUCUGGGCCUUUCAAUUCCACUGAAACCACAUCAUGAAACAGGGACCCUUGAAAAAUUCUUAACAGAUGGAAGAGGACGAGUAGGAUCUCCUUGGAGGCCUGUCCGCCAGUCUGAGGGAUCUGCAGACCCCUUGAUCCUAUGAAUUUACCACUGUAAUUGUUUAAAAAUGUCUGCAGUUCACUUACCCAAAGAUUUCAAACUGUGUGGCCCACUCUAUAGAUGACAAAUGGAGGCCCAGUGAUUUGCCCACAGGUAGUGACAGAGCUGGAUGGGACCCAAGUGUUCACACACUCACAAGUGACAUGCAGAUGCUUCUGUAGACGUUGCUUUCAAAAUUGUUAAAUCUUUCCCAAGUAAACCAUGGUAUCUCAUCUUCCCCCAUGUUCCUAUGGAAUCGUCUGGAAGAUUCUGGUACACCUUUACAGCAAGCACACCUUCAUGUGACCCUCAGCAAGUCGCAUCUAUGUGUCAUCUUCUCCCCGUGAGUGAGACCCUCGCAUGGGCAACUAGAGCAAAGGAUUCUCCCACUGGUGUGAAGAAGUGAGCAGUCGCGCUGUCAGGGGCUGUGGCAAAGAACUGCAGGGGGCCGAGAGCAAACAUCAGCCGGAAAACAGGACGUCAGUCCUGUGGCCACAGGGGACUGAAUCCUGCCAAAAAAUCACAUGAGCUUGGCGAGGACCCAGCAGAGGACAGAGUGAAGCCAUGCUCAGACCCUUGACCUACAGAAACUGAGAGACUAAAUGAGAUAAAUGCACAGUCAGUUCUCUUUUUGCACAGUAGCUAUGUUCUAUGUUCUAUGAAGUCAUGGUGAAAAAUGAAUCAGUGCCAUGGCUUCUGGGGAAGUUCAGGGUUAGGUUCCUGCCAGGGUCUGUUCCCAGCACUGUCCUCAACCCAUCGAUCCAUAACCUUGUUUUACGUGUAUCUGUUUUCAAAGACACCUCAUUUAAUGUACAUUGUGGAUUCAUUAACAUUGAUGUCACUGCCAAGAGCAUUUAACUCACGCCUGAAUGAAGUUUAUCUGCAACACGUAUUUUCUCCAUGGGGCGCAUAGCAGCCUUCUUGCUGGACCAGACAGCACUUCAGCACUGCGCUCAGGGCUCCCUUCCGUAGUGAAAUCACCAAUAAAGAGUACAUGCAGAAAUAGGGCACUAAAGAGACCACCAAAGGGGCUCGUUUGCAGUAUGAGAGCGGAAACACUGCCUUCCUAGACCUCAGCCGAGGACAUGUACAUCGGUGACAAAUUUCUUGCCACUCUACACAUAUCCGCAAGUGGCCCCGAAACCAGUGACGGUAUUGAUUUUUUGAGGUAGCAAAUAAAUUUGAGCAGAUACAGAAUCUGCAAAUAACGACGAUAAGCUGCGGAUUUUCAGCGGCGAAUUUGGCGGUGAUUUGCUGCGUGGCAUGUCUGACGUCCCCUGUAAGUUCGGAAAUGCCCAUCAAUGUGCUCUUCCUCCCCCAUCCCCGACUGCUGACUGCUUGUACCAUUCACCAUACCCUGAGUGUAGCAGGACAUUAUAUAAAUCCUGUUCCUCUGACAUAAUCUUCGAGCUAUUUGUGUGUUUUAUGACACAUCCCAGAACUUCUCAGCAUUGUGCACGUGCCAGGGGUGGGAAACCUGCUGCACUUCACUAAGUUACGGCCUCUAAAACAGACUCUAUGCGCUCCCUCAGGCUGCCUUAAACAGUAGGUCAAAUCUUCCUUCUUAAAAUCAAGUGGUUCCAGCCUUCUCACCCUGUAAGAACAGCUUUUUUCUUCUUUUCCAAGAAUCCUACCUCCUUUCCCUGAUGAGUCAAAGAAUCCAAGGGCCUGCCUACCU